GAUGAACGCUGGCGGCGUGCCUAAUACAUGCAAGUCGAGCGAACGGACGAGAAGCUUGCUUCUCUGAUGUUAGAGGCGGACGGGUGAGUAACACGUGGAUAACCUACCUAUAAGACUGGGAUAACUUCGGGAAACCGGAGCUAAUACCGGAUAAUAUUUUGAACCGCAUGGUUCAAAAGUGAAAGACGGUCUUGCUGUCACUUAUAGAUGGAUCCGCGCUGCAUUAGCUAGUUGGUAAGGUAACGGCUUACCAAGGCAACGAUGCAUAGCCGACCUGAGAGGGUGAUCGGCCACACUGGAACUGAGACACGGUCCAGACUCCUACGGGAGGCAGCAGUAGGGAAUCUUCCGCAAUGGGCGAAAGCCUGACGGAGCAACGCCGCGUGAGUGAUGAAGGUCUUCGGAUCGUAAAACUCUGUUAUUAGGGAAGAACAUAUGUGUAAGUAACUGUGCACAUCUUGACGGUACCUAAUCAGAAAGCCACGGCUAACUACGUGCCAGCAGCCGCGGUAAUACGUAGGUGGCAAGCGUUAUCCGGAAUUAUUGGGCGUAAAGCGCGCGUAGGCGGUUUUUUAAGUCUGAUGUGAAAGCCCACGGCUCAACCGUGGAGGGUCAUUGGAAACUGGAAAACUUGAGUGCAGAAGAGGAAAGUGGAAUUCCAUGUGUAGCGGUGAAAUGCGCAGAGAUAUGGAGGAACACCAGUGGCGAAGGCGACUUUCUGGUCUGUAACUGACGCUGAUGUGCGAAAGCGUGGGGAUCAAACAGGAUUAGAUACCCUGGUAGUCCACGCCGUAAACGAUGAGUGCUAAGUGUUAGGGGGUUUCCGCCCCUUAGUGCUGCAGCUAACGCAUUAAGCACUCCGCCUGGGGAGUACGACCGCAAGGUUGAAACUCAAAGGAAUUGACGGGGACCCGCACAAGCGGUGGAGCAUGUGGUUUAAUUCGAAGCAACGCGAAGAACCUUACCAAAUCUUGACAUCCUUUGACAACUCUAGAGAUAGAGCUUUCCCCUUCGGGGGACAAAGUGACAGGUGGUGCAUGGUUGUCGUCAGCUCGUGUCGUGAGAUGUUGGGUUAAGUCCCGCAACGAGCGCAACCCUUAAGCUUAGUUGCCAUCAUUAAGUUGGGCACUCUAAGUUGACUGCCGGUGACAAACCGGAGGAAGGUGGGGAUGACGUCAAAUCAUCAUGCCCCUUAUGAUUUGGGCUACACACGUGCUACAAUGGACAAUACAAAGGGCAGCGAAACCGCGAGGUCAAGCAAAUCCCAUAAAGUUGUUCUCAGUUCGGAUUGUAGUCUGCAACUCGACUACAUGAAGCUGGAAUCGCUAGUAAUCGUAGAUCAGCAUGCUACGGUGAAUACGUUCCCGGGUCU
rnacentral:rRNA from 1 species